UCUCUAAUCCCGGCCCUGUUAUUUCUGCCACGAGUGUGUGUUGCCGAUCCCUGCUGAUCGCCACAAAUCAGGCUGCAAGUACGUGCCGGGCAUCGAUGAUCGGAAAGAAUCGUCGGCAAACGGGCACGUCCAAAUGGUCAGCAUUUUAUCGUCUUCUUUUUCGAAAAUUUCCCUUUAUGAGCGGCAGUCUCAUUGCUAUGCAUUCCGAUUCUGAGUGGACUGAAGCAAUCGGUGGCCAGCUAAUAAGCGUUUUAGCACAGAAGCCACGUACCGACUUCAUAGAGUUAUUAGUGCCCUACAAGGCGUCAUGGUGAUAAGAUGGCCAAGGGGAACCGCCUGCGGUCGCCAUAUAUCAUUGUCUGCUCAUUGGAGGAGAACCGCCAGGGAAACCACUUCUACUGGCGAUGGUCAAACAGCUAAGCCACCGAGGUCACGGAAAAAUAAUUGCCAGCGGAUGAGGGAGGAAUUAAUUUGCACAAGAUUACAGAUCACCUGGAAUCCAUUCAAAUUUGCAAACAGCAAGUGUCAGAAGUACAAAAAGUAGAGGAGUUAAAUAUGCUAAAGUUAUCUUGAGUCUGGAACUACAAAUUGCAUUGGCAUUAAGGCCCUAGGGAAACGAUAGGAAAAUCUUCAAAUGCUUCACGUUGGAGUCUUCUUUCAAACUCCAUAAAUAUUGAGUUGGAUAUCUUUGAAACUCAAUAAAUACUGAGCUGGAUAUGUUAUGACAAAAGACAAAGACAAUGUGAAAAACAUAUUGAACCAGUCAAAUACUUUUAGAAAAGUGAAACACGACCCCACUCUAGGAUAAGAACUACGAACUUCUUACACUUAGUUUCAAUGUGUGAAAGGAUGAAUACCCUGCCGAAUGCUAAAUAAUCAUGAACGAACAUACACUCACUUCCAGAGUGUAAUGAACUGGGCAAAAUAACAGUGUUUAUAGCGAUGCCCCCUUCAAUAAUUCAAAUCAAUGUAGUCCGUCUGUCUGGGCAGUCGCGUAAUUGAAACUGUGAUGAAUAGGCAGCUAGUGUUAAUAGGCAUCUUGGCAGUCUUGCAUUCGACUGUUCAUCCGUGGACAUUCCGCUCAUCGUCGCCGACUCCACUCCACUCCGUUCCACCAUAAUUAAUCAAAGCGAGACCUUGGCAGCAGCAUCUUCCCCAUCAACAGGUAGUAAAACGCCAAGACGUGCCCCAUCAAUACGUAUCCAUCUGUAGCUGUAGCUGUAGCUGUGGAAGUAUCUGUAUCUUUUUCUGUCGCUGUUUCUGUUUCUGCAGAAAGACGAGGGAGUUCUUCGAUUCGUGCGUGACAGAAAGAGUUGUGUUGAGUUGAGUAGAUUUCGAGCUGAGUGGAUUGAAUACGAUAAUCUCUACUAAGAAGACUCAAAGAUCUGCUAGCCAAUUUUGCUUUUAAAAUAUUCAAAUAGAAAUAAAAUACUAUUGUUAUUUAUUUAGUUGUUUUAGAUAAAUGUUUAUUAUUAAAUGUAAUUCCAAUAAAAAGCCUUUAGCAAAGGGACAAAACAAAA